UACAGAGGGUGCGAGCGUUGUCCGGAAUCACUGGGCGUAAAGGGCGCGUAGGCGGCCUGGCAAGUCUGUGGUGAAAGCUCGUGGCUCAACUGCGAGUCGGCCAUAGAUACUGCGAGGCUCGAGUCGACUAGAGGCAGAUGGAAUUCCCGGUGUAGCGGUGAAAUGCGUAGAGAUCGGGAAGAACAUCGGUGGCGAAAGCGCUCUACUGGACGGUAUCUGACACUGAGGGACGAAAGCUAGGGGAGCGAAUGGG
rnacentral:rRNA from 1 species